rnacentral:tRNA from 7 species
GUAUCCUUAGCUCAGCUGGAUAGAGCGUCUGGCUACGGACCAGAAGGUCGGGGGUUCGAAUCCUCUAGGAUACGCCA